UUUAGUCUCAUGGUCGUCUUUCGGAUGCGAAGACAUGUCUCAGUCUCAAUUACAAACAGACUCGUAGUACAAGGCUCAGGGAGAACUGACUCCAGUGUGGCAGCUCUCCUGGACGGCGGGGCGUGUCACACUCCCGGCGACACACGGCAACAGAUGGGGCGACAGCGUCCCAGUCCACGGCGGGUCGUCGGUUCAACCCUCUGAGGCCGAAGCGAGGUCUGCAGGCAGCCAGAGCGGGCCAGUCUUCGCCUUGCUACCGCGGGCAGUCGUCUUGGCUCCCGAAACACGUCGGAGACUUACAAGGCGAGGGCCGCAGUUUCGGACGCUGGAACAGGGGCGGUCAUUGCCGCCACAUUCCCAGCUAUGCCAGCCGAGGAAGAAGCAGCAGCGCGGCCGGCCUACAGCUCCCAGCGGAGCAGCGUGGAGUCAGGGAGGAUGGUGCCUGCUGAGUCAUCUGCUAGCGCAGCCAUCUUGACGUAAUUGGAACUCUACAGCUGGCGUACAAGGCUGGCUCGACACAGUGCGUUGCGCAGGCUGCUGGGGUGCUACCUCAGCAAUGCGUUGCCUGUGUUGCGGACCGAGGUCAACGAAGCUCUGUAGUGGAAAAAAUAAAUCAUUUG